rnacentral:rRNA from 1 species
CNCCUUUGACGUUAGCGGCGGACGGGUGAGUAACACGUGGGUAACCUACCUAUAAGACUGGGAUAACUUCGGGAAACCGGAGCUAAUACCGGAUAAUAUUUCGAACCGCAUGGUUCGAUAGUGAAAGGUGGUUUUGCUAUCACUUAUAGAUGGACCCGCGCCGUAUUAGCUAGUUGGUAAGGUAACGGCUUACCAAGGCGACGAUACGUAGCCGACCUGAGAGGGUGAUCGGCCACACUGGAAUGAGACACGGUCCAGACUCCUACGGGAGGCAGAGGC